CAGUAGCCGCGGGAAUACGUAGGUCCCGAGCGUUGUCCGGAUUUAUUGGGCGUAAAGCGAGCGCAGGCGGUUAGAUAAGUCUGAAGUUAAAGGCUGUGGCUUAACCAUAGUACGCUUUGGAAACUGUUUAACUUGAGUGCAAGAGGGGGGAGUGGAAUUCCAUGUGUAGCGGUGAAAUGCGUAGAUAUAUGGAGGAACACCGGUGGCGAAAGCGGCUCUCUGGCUUGUAACUGACGCUGAGGCUCGAAAGCGUGGGGAGCAAACAGGAUUAGAGACCCCAGUAGUCCCUGUCUCUUAUACA
rnacentral:rRNA from 1 species